rnacentral:rRNA from 1 species
CACGUAGGGCGCAAGCGUUGUCCGGAAUUAUUGGGCGUAAAGAGCUCGUAGGCGGCUGUUCAAGUCGAACGUGAAAACUCGGAGCUCAACUCCGAGCCUGCGUUCGAUACUGGACGGCUAGAGUCUGGUAGGGGGAUCUGGAAUUCCUGGUGUAGCGGUGGAAUGCGCAGAUAUCAGGAGGAACACCGGUGGCGAAGGCGGGUCUCUGGGCCGAUGCUGACGCUGAGGAGCGAAAGCGUGGGGAGCGAACAGG